GAUCAUGGCUCAGAUUGAACGCUGGUGGCAGGCUUAACACAUGCAAGUCGAACGGUAACAUAAAGAAGCUUGCUUCUUUGAUGACGAGUGGCGGACGGGUGAGUAAUGCUUGGGAAUCUAGCUUAUGGAGGGGGGAUAACUACGGGAAACUGUAGCUAAUACCGCGUAAUAUCGAAAGAUUAAAGUGUGGGACCUUCGGGCCACAUGCCAUAGGAUGAGCCCAAGUGGGAUUAGGUAGUUGGUGAGG
rnacentral:rRNA from 1 species